CACAAAACACCCCCCUUAUGUUAACAGCAGAGCGCUCGCUCUCCCUGGGCAGUGAAGAGGCGACACUCAUCUAUAUCUCGUUCACUGUUCUUCUAAAAAAAAUUUCCCCAUUUUUUCCUUGCCAGACAGAAAACCUCAUAUCUUCGUCACUGUUGGUUGUCUUUGUGGCUUCAAUCACCAUCUCAAUCUUCAUUCUAAUGUCAUUCAACUGUUUCGUAGUUGAAACGUUGUCUCAAUCGUCAUUUAACUCGCCGCUUCAAGGUCUAGCUAGUGCAUUGAUAAAAGUGCGGAACCUCUUGGAGACACCUGUCAUUGAGCAAUGAAAAUUUGACCAUGUUACUAGUUUAGCUUCUUCCUCGAUUGAUGAAGAUAAAGUUGUGAGACAAGGAUGCCUUGCUCUACAUGUUAUUGAGCAGGCAAAGGUUGAGGUAGAACGAUUACAUAAUCUGAAAGCCAGCAAGAUGAAAGAGUUGGUAUUUAAGAGGCAAAAUGAGCUUGAAGAAAUCUAUAGACGGGUUCAUAUGGAUGUAGAUAGUGAUGCAGAAAGUGGCUUGAUGAAUAUAAAAAGGUACUUACCUGGAAGUGGAAAUAAAGAGUUCUAGGAUCAUAGAAAAUUCAUACCCGGAUUCAAUGUGUACAUUCUAUGAUGAUGUUUGAUGAUCCACCCGUUGCGAUUAUUAAUCCACAACACAAAUUGUUGUUCUUUCUGUAUUCUGUGAUCUUAGUUUUUCGUUAUUUUCAGAGAAGAAGAAGAAGUAAAGAGCGUUCUAGAGUUCCCUUCUCCAGAAGUUACGUAACUUUUGUUUUUAAUAUUAAGUGGCAAUUGAGAAUUCAAACUUUGAAAUCCCAACUGUUAUUAACUUCUAUAGUAGGAAGGUAAUUUUUUCUGUUGGAGUUAAUUAAACAUUUUAACCCUAAUGGAUUGAGUCAACUUAUCAUGA